rnacentral:rRNA from 1 species
GUGGGGAAUAUUGGACAAUGGGGGGAACCCUGAUCCAGCCAUGCCGCGUGUGUGAAGAAGGCCUUUUGGUUGUAAAGCACUUUAAGCGAGGAGGAGGCUACCGAGAUUAAUACUCUUGGAUAGUGGACGUUACUCGCAGAAUAAGCACCGGCUAACUCUGUGCCAGCAGCCGCGGUAAUACAGAGGGUGCACGCGUUAAUCGGAUUUACUGGGCGUAAAGCGCACGUAGGUGGCUAAUUAAGUCCACUGUGAAAUCCCCGAGCUUAACUUGGGAAUUGCAUUCGAUACUGGUUGGCUAGAGUAUGGGAGAGGAUGGUAGAAUUCCAGGUGUAGCGGUGAAAUGCGUAGAGAUCUGGAGGAAUACCGAUGGCGAAGGCAGCCAUCUGGCCUAAUACUGACACUGAGGUGCGAAAGCAUGGGGAGCAAACAGGAUUAGAUACCCUAGUAGUCC